rnacentral:rRNA from 1 species
AUUGAACGCUGGCGGCAUGCCUUACACAUGCAAGUCGAACGGCAGCACGGGAGCUUGCUCCUGGUGGCGAGUGGCGAACGGGUGAGUAACAUAUCGGAACGUACCCCGUCGUGGGGGAUAACUCUCCGAAAGGAGUGCUAAUACCGCAUACGACCUGAGGGUGAAAGCGGGGGACCUGCAAGGGCCUCGCGCGAUGGGAGCGGCCGAUAUCGGAUUAGCUAGUUGGUGAGGUAAAGGCUCACCAAGGCGACGAUCCGUAGCGGGUCUGAGAGGACGACCCGCCACACUGGAACUGAGACACGGUCCAGACUCCUACGGGAGGCAGCAGUGGGGAAUAUUGGGCAAUGGGGGAAACCCUGACCCAGCGACGCCGCGUGGGUGAAGAAAUCCUUCGGGAUGUAAAGCCCUGUUGUAUGGGAAGAGCGGAAGACGGUACCAUACGAGGAAGCCCCGGCAAACUACGUG